rnacentral:lncRNA from 1 species
CUGUAUCUUCUCCGAUAUUGAUUGUUCUCGAUUGGAUACAGUGGCUCAGUUGCAUCAGAGGAGAAGCAAUCACUCUAUAUACGGUGUGGAGAUAGGGUUGGGUUCAAGAUUUAUUAGAUGAGAGUUCAAUAACGGCUUCACUCAUGCUCAAUGGUGGGUCUGAUUUAACUAAAAAAUAAAGCCAACAUAUGUUAGGUGAAGUCUCAGCACUUAGAGAUCAGGUCCACUGUAAUUUGCUUGAGAAGCAUUGGAUAAGAGUUAUUCACUCAUUGAUUGACAUAUUUACCAAGAUCUGUCAGAUGAGGUGGUGUGCCAGUCGGUGGGACUACAGUAUCCAUUAGAAAUCCUAACUUGCAAAGGAGUUUUCGCUUCCCAACUCGAGGAGUGUUGGGAUCCAAAAAAUUAGUAGGAGCA